rnacentral:rRNA from 1 species
UGGGGAAUUUUGGACAAUGGGCGCAAGCCUGAUCCAGCAAUGCCGCGUGCAGGAUGAAGGCCUUCGGGUUGUAAACUGCCUUUGUACGGAACGAAAAGGCUCUGGCUAAUACCUGGGGCACAUGACGGUACCGUAAGAAUAAGCACCGGCUAACUACGUGCCAGCAGCCGCGGUAAUACGUAGGGUGCGAGCGUUAAUCGGAAUUACUGGGCGUAAAGCGUGCGCAGGCGGUUUUGUAAGACAGAGGUGAAAUCCCCGGGCUCAACCUGGGAACUGCCUUUGUGACUGCAAGGCUGGAGUGCGGCAGAGGGGGAUGGAAUUCCGCGUGUAGCAGUGAAAUGCGUAGAUAUGCGGAGGAACACCGAUGGCGAAGGCAAUCCCCUGGGCCUGCACUGACGCUCAUGCACGAAAGCGUGGGGGAGCAAACAGGAUUAGAUACCCCUGGUAGUCCACGCCCUAAACGAUGUCAACUGGCUUGUUGGGUCUUAUUGACUCAGUAACGAAGCUAACGCGUGAAGUUGGACCGCCUGGGGGAGUACGGCCGCAAGGUUGAAACUCAAAGGAAUUGACGGGGUCAUAGCUGUUUCCU